rnacentral:rRNA from 1 species
CUGCUGCCUUCCGUAGGAGUCUGGUCCGUGUCUCAGUACCAGUGUGGGGGACCUUCCUCUCAGAACCCCUACUGAUCGCCGCCCCGGUGGGCCGUUACCCCGCCGGCAAGCUAAUCAGACGCAUCCCCAUCCUUUACCGGCCGAAGCCUUUGGUCAUGAAAAUAUGCAUCAACAUGACAACAUACGGUAUUAAUCCGCCUUUCGACGGGCUGUCCCAUAGUAAAGGGCAGGUUGGAUACGCGUUACUCACCCGUACGCCGGUCGCCAU